rnacentral:lncRNA from 10 species
GUUCUACCCUAGGUUGGGGCGGAGGAAGCUGGAGGAUAGGGGCUGACGCCAGGAACGCUGCAGAGGCGGGUUGGCCGGGUGGCGCUGCCCCCCAAGGCCCGAGGCAGCGGCGCGGGAUCGGCCACAGCACCGGCCGCCAGUUCGGCGGGUCUGGAAAGAGGGGACCUCAAGCAGCCAGUGGAGCAACCAGCCUGGGAGCCUUCGACGUAGGCGCUGUGGGCGAAGGAAAAGGCCUGGCCUGCUGCCUCUUCUCUUGCAGCAAAAUCCGCUGCUGUGAAGGAGCUGGUAGGCGGACGCUCUGUAGAUAGAGAAUCCCUGAUCUGCCUGGGCAUCAUCUUGCUCUUUAUGACCUGCUUGGCUGCCACUGUGUAGGGCCUGCUUAAAGUCCUUUGCACUCUCAGCAUUGCCCUCAAGUUCAAGGACAAGCUUCUCAUUAUGGCAGGCAUAAAACUCUUUAUAAUUCGUCCUCCACUCUCCCAGCUCAGGGCUCCAGCUGUUGUCUCACACUUCCUUGAAGUUCCCUCUGCUGAGUCGCCCUUGUGCCUGACCAACUUACUUACUAAAAUAAAAAUCCCAAUUUCUUUCCAGUCAUGUGUGCCCAAGGGCGAGUUAUUUAACUUUUCUGAGCUUUCCUCAGUAAAACGAAGCUACAUAUCUUGCAAGGAUGUGAUAUUAAAGUUAUGAUAUUGUAAAACAGGUGCCACGGUGCUUGGCCUAGGGUGAGCCUUCAACCUAGAACAUACCACUGUCCCCAUGCACCUUGCUCACACACCCAAUCCCAGACUUUUCUUUUGUAGUCACCUCAGUUAUCACCUCAUUAAAUAACCUGAUUAUCCCAAGUACAGCUUAAGUGACUUAAGUUAUUUUCGAUGGCUAGCGGAAGGGUCUCCACUACAUUGGAGAGCUGGGGUGGUCUGGAGUUCCACGGUGUGGUGGGCCAGAGGCCACCUCUCCUGCGGUCUCUUAGUGUCUCGCUGGCGGGGUUCGGCCCGAGCUAGAUAGACACAGCCCUUGGCGGAUUUAAACAACCUAAACAUUAAACAAUACAGCUGCCUCAAAUCUUUGGGAAUUUCGGAAUGACUGACACUGCCAAAGCUGUUCCAAAUUUUGAAGAGAUGUUUGCUAGUAGAUUCGCAGAAGAUGACAAGGAGUAUCAGGAAUACUUGAAACGCCCUCCUAUGUGCUCGUUUCUAAAAUUCUAGAGGUUAAUACAAUCAGCUCAUGAAUGCACAGCUAUGCUUCUUGUGAUAGAUUGUACAUAACAUCAGCAGUUGAAAGAUGAAGAGGAUAACUUAUUCGCACCCCCCAAGCUGACCGACGAGGACUUCUCGCCAUUUGGCUCUGGAGGUGGCCUGUUCAGUGGGGGCAAGGGGCUCUUUGAUGAUGAGGAUGAGGAGGAGACACGGAUGUGCUGCCUCCGUUCCAUCAAUGAAGGAGCCACAGAAGCCUGAGCAGCCCACUCCAAGGAAAAGCCCCUACCUUCCCCCUCCCACUGGCCUCUUUGAUGAUGAUGAUGGUGAUGAUGAUGACGACUUUUUCUCGACACCCCACAGCUAGCCUUCCAAAACAGGUUACCUUACCUUCCAGCAAAAAUCUCAAGCCCUCGUCAGAAACAAACACUCAAAAAGGCUUAUUUUAGGAUCAGGAGGACUCUGAGGAUUUGUUUUCUUCUCAAAGUGCGAGUAACUUAAAAGGUGCAUCUCUGCUGCCUGGCAAGCUCCCCACGUCGGUUUCCCUGUUUGAUGAUGAAGAUGAAGAGGAUAAUCUUUUUGGGCGUACAGCUGCUAAGAGGCAGACAUUGUGUCUACAAGCUCAGAGAGAAGAGAAAGCAAAAGCCUCCGAGCUCUCCAAAAAGAAAGCAUCUGCCCUGUUGUUCAGCAGUGAUGAGGAGGACCGGGCGCAGUGGCUCACGCCUGUCAUGCCAGCACUUUGGGAGGCCAAGAGGAACGGAUCACUUGAGGUCAGGAGUUUGAGACCAGCCUGGCCAACAUGGCGAAACCCUGUCUCUGCUUAAAAUACAAAAAUUAGCCGGGCAUGGUGGUGGGCGCCUGUAAUCCCAGCCACUUGGGAGGCUGAGACACAAGAAUCACUUGAACCCAGGAGGCAGAGGUUAGAGUGAGCCGAGAUCGCACCAGUACACUCCAGCUUGGGGGACACAGAAAGACUCCGUCUCAAAU